GAUGAACGCUGGCGGCGUGCCUAAUACAUGCAAGUCGAGCGAACAGACGAGGAGCUUGCUCCUCUUACGUUAGCGGCGGACGGGUGAGUAACACGUGGAUAACCUACCUAUAAGACUGGGAUAACUUCGGGAAACCGGAUCUAAUACCGGAUAAUAUAUUGAACCGCAUGGUUCAUUAGUGAAAGACGGUUUUGCUGUCACUUAUAGAUGGAUCCGCGCCGCAUUAGCUAGUGGGUAAGGUAACGGCUUACCAAGGCAACGAUGCGUAGCCGACCUGAGAGGGUGAUCGGCCACACUGGAACUGAGACACGGUCCAGACUCCUACGGGAGGCAGCAGUGGGGAAUCUUCCGCAAUGGGCGAAAGCCUGACGGAGCAACGCCGCGUGAGUGAUGAAGGUCUUCGGAUCGUAAAACUCUGUUAUUAGGGAAGAACAAAUGUGUAAGUAACUAUGCACGUCUUGACGGUACCUAAUCAGAAAGCCACGGCUAACUACGUG
rnacentral:rRNA from 1 species